CGUGGGUUGGGUUGGGUGGAUAGCUGUUUGAGUUUGAUUUGUUUUUUGCAUUAAGUGUUUUCUUGUCAGUUAGAUUUGUUGUUAGAAAUUAAACUUGGUGCCAUUCUAACUUGCCACCUCAAGCUUCUUGAAAAAUCAAUCAUCCUUUUUGAGUUUUACUUCAACACUAAGAAAAUGAAUGGCCUUUAAAAAUAUUUACUUAGCAUAAAAAGAUUAUUUAACCAUAAAAAUAUUUGAGUUGGCAAGAUGGACAUCAUAUGGUGGAGUCUCUUCAAAAGGGACAGCACAUGGUGGAGUUUUUCAAGAUGCUGCAUGUGGAUAAAUAGGGUGAAAUUUACUUCAACAUCUCCGAUUUGAAGUCGACAAAUUU
rnacentral:lncRNA from 1 species